rnacentral:misc_RNA from 1 species
AAGACUAUAGACCUGCGGAGUACCUGCGGAAGGAUCAUUAAAGAGUUUAACUACUCAAACCAUUGUGAACCUUACCUCAACCGUUGCUUCGGCGGGCGGGCCCGGGCCAAGCCCGGCGCCCCCCCGGCCCCUCGCGGGCGCCCGCCGGAGGUUAACCGAACCCUUGAAUUGUAUGGCCUCUCUGAGUCUUCUGUACUGAAUAAGUCAAAACUUUUAACAAUGGAUCUCUAGAUCGGAAGA